UGGGGAAUAUUGCACAAUGGGGGAAACCCUGAUGCAGCGACGCCGCGUGAGCGAAGAAGGUUUUCGAAUCGUAAAGCUCUGUCCUAUGGGAAGAUAAUGACGGUACCACAGGAGGAAGCCCCGGCUAACUACGUGCCAGCAGCCGCGGUAAUACGUAGGGGGCAAGCGUUGUCCGGAAUCACUGGGCGUAAAGGGUUCGCAGGCGGAAAUGCAAGUCAGUUGUGAAAGGCAGAGGCUCAACCUCUGUAAGCAAUUUAAACUGUAUUUCUUGAGUUGUGGAGAGGCAAGUGGAAUUCCUAGUGUAGCGGUGAAAUGCGUAGAUAUUAGGAAGAAUACCGGUGGCGAAGGCGACUUGCUGGACACAAUCUGACGCUGAGGAACGAAAGCGUGGGUAGCAAACAGG
rnacentral:rRNA from 1 species